UCUAAUGCGUUUUUAAGCUAUAACUCGUCUCGUCAUCUCCGUAAUUAUCCGGAAAGGACACAUAUUGAUAUUGAGAUAUUGAGUUCACAGCUAACAGGACUAUUGAUUGGUAUUCAAGGAUUUCAAGGAUUCGGUAAACAGAUUUCCCUUGAGUGCGCUGAGUUGUGUUAAGUUGAGCUGGGCACAGAAAAGGCCGAAAGCGAACCAGUUGUUGUCAGUUGGAAACUACAAGUUGGAAGCGAUGCAGCAUUUGAUUAUUGUGUGCGGCAUAUUGUUGUUGAUGGUUCAGUGUCAAGCUGCGCUGACGGCGAUAGACUUAUUGCCAGCACCGGACACCGGACAAUUGACAACUUUGGCCGAGGCACUUGGCCAGGUGCUGCAGCACUCGGAGAUGUCACAGCGCCAGACACUUUACAUCCAUAUGCAGUUCAGUGCGACGUCAUCGCAUCCACAACUGCUCGAGUUGCUCGCACGUGUGCUCGACAUUCUGCCAGCAACAGCGUCACAGACACGCUGUCUGUUCGAGCAACGCCCCAUGGAGUACAGGCCGUAUGUGCAUGCGGUGCUGCUGCUGGUGGACGAUAUACGUGCCUUGCGCACCGUUUACCGUAAGCUGCACGCCACCAGCGAUCUAUCCUUGACGCUCAUCUACAUGAUGCGACCACAGCCGACAGCGGCCAUGAAGCUGCUCUGGCAGCGCAGUGUCCUCAAUGUUGCCAUCCUGGUUGUGGAGGAGCAGCAGCAGAGGGUGAUGAUGCUCAGCUUUUAUCCAUAUAGUGCCACCCAUGGCUGUCGGGUGAUAAAGGCGAGCAUUGUGAAUCAAUAUGUCGCCGCUGUGGGACGCUGGGCCAACGAUGACUUUUUCCCCGACAAGUUGAGCAACUUCUUUGGCUGCACGCUGACGUGUGCCACGUGGCCGGAUAUGCCGUAUCUGGUGCGGCAGCCCAACGGCCAAUUUGUUGGCAUCGAAGGCGAACUGCUGCAGUUCAUGGCCGCCAAUUUGAACUUCAGCAUCGGCAUCUACUGGCUGAACAACUCCCAGGUGCGUGACACCUUCAAUGAGUCCGGCUGGGUAUUCGACCAGAUCUUUGCCAACGCCGAAUAUGCCUUGGGCGGUUUCCACUACAAACCCAACGAGGGCACCGAUAUGCCCUACUCGCAGUCGAAGUACUAUUUCAUGAGCCACAUCAUGCUGAUAACCAAUCUGCCCAGCGCCUACUCGCCCUAUGAGAAGUUGGCUUUUCCAUUCCACCCGCUCCUCUGGCAGGCCAUCUGUCUGGUCUUGGCACUCGGAUGUCUGUCGCUCUGGUUGCUGCAGCGAUUUUGGAAGCAUUUGCCUCAUCAUCCCUAUUACCAGUUCCUGGUGCUGACCAUGGGUGGCAAUCUGUUGAGCAGGGAGUUGCCGCUACGCAACUCGUUCCGUUUGCUGUUUGUGACAUGGCUGCUGUGGUCCUGGGUGAUGCGCAGUGCCUAUCAGUCGGGCAUGUAUCAGCUGCUGCGCCAGGAUAAGCAACGCCAUCCGCCGCAAACAAUUGCCGAGGUCAUCGAGCAGCGCUACACGAUCCAGAUGGUCGAGGGGAAUGGGGAUCGCUGGCUGGCCAGCCUGCCGGAACUGCGGACGCAACAGUUGCGCCAAUUGACGGCCAGUGAGCUGCAUUCGUUUGCCGGCCUGGCCGAGAGCAGCGGCAGCAAUCAGCGACUGGCAAUCAUAACGCCGUACGAAUACUUUGGCUACUUUCGCAAGGUGCACGAGAUGAGUCGCCGUCUGCAUUUGGUGCGGGAGCGGAUAUUCACCCAACAGCUUGCGUUCAAUGUGCGCCGCCACUCGCAUCUGAUUGGUGUGCUCAACAAACAGAUUAUGCUGGCCCAUUCGCACGGCUUCCUCGAGCAUUGGACACGGAAAUAUGUUAGCGCUGUCGAUGCUUCUGAUGAGAGCACCGAACGCAUCUCGGCAAUACCCACUUAUGGCGGCACGACUAGCACGACACAAGUAUCUAAUGAUGAUGACAACAAUACGGAUACGAAUACGAAUACGAUUACGGAUAUGGAUGCGAAUGCGAAUGAUGAUGAGGAGGAGGAUGAGGCACCCGCUGAGGCGCUGAGGGUGCUCUCAUUCAAGGAGUUGGCCGCUUUGUUCUAUCUAACAGUGUGGAGCAUGCUGUUUGCCAUUCUCGUCUUUGGCCUCGAACUGUUGCUGCAUAAAUAAUGUGCAAAUUUAUUUUGUGCUAAAAACGUUUUAAUUAAAUUAUUUCAUAAUCCACAUCGCACAUCUCAUAAUCCAAAAACAACAGCGCCACCCGCUGCUCCUUUGGGAGGGAGCUGCUUCUGCUCCUGCUCCUAAUUUUGCUUUUGCUUCUGCUGCUGCUGCUGCUGAUAGUUCUGCUCGUAUCGUAAAAACGCAAAACGUUUUAUCUGAAAGCGAUAAAUUUGCAAAACCAAAAAAACUUACAAGCGCGCCACCAAAUCUUCACUCGGACCCCACCCGCAAUAAGCACUUCCUCACACACCCCAAUCCUACACCACCCACCCACCAUCAAUUUUCCCUCUCUGUCUCUAUCUCUGUGUGAUUGUGCUUGUGUGGUUUUCUUGCCGGCAAGCAGAUACUCUUCCAGAAGCUCAAAUUACACCAGCUCUGAAUUUUUUGUGUACGUAUUGCAUUCGAUUGCCAAAGGACUUGUCACGGACCCCACUCUACUUGGUUACCCAAAAACCCGAUUGCUCCCAUUCCAAAUGCCUCCACACCCCUCCCGCCAAACACACACAUACACACCCAAAUGCUGGAGAUGGCGUUGCUGCUAUUUUGCUUAUCGCCUCGCACUUUUGCGCUUCUGCGAACUUUUUUGCCACAAAACUGCUGUAAUGGGCAUGAUGUCGCCUCAGCAUUCAGCAUAUCUAGUACCAGUAACAGUACCACUUCCACUGCCACUACCACAAGUAACAGUCACAGUACGAGUAGGAGCAGCAGCUUCAGCUUUAGCCAAGUAGUCAACGACAUCGACAUCGUCGUCAUCGUUGCUGGAAAUUCAAGUAAAUGUAUUGAACUUAAGCUUAUUGCCUUUGCCUGCAUUGUCGUCCUUUACAGCGGCUUUCGUCCUCCCUUCCCAU